rnacentral:rRNA from 1 species
UACGGAGGGGGCGAGCGUUAUUCGGAAUUAUUGGGCGUAAAGAGCUCGUAGGCGGUUUGUCGCGUCUGCUGUGAAAAUCCAGGGCUUAACCCUGGACCUGCAGUGGGUACGGGCAGACUAGAGUGCGGUAGGGGAGAUCGGAAUUCCUGGUGUAGCGGUGAAAUGCGCAGAUAUCAGGAGGAACACCGGUGGCGAAGGCGGAUCUCUGGGCCGUAACUGACGCUGAGGAGCGAAAGCAUGGGGAGCGAACAGG